rnacentral:lncRNA from 1 species
UCUUUUUUUGUGCAAUCUGUGGUAUUUUACAAUCAAAAUUAUGCCACAUAGCAAACAAGCAACAAAACAAGCACUUAGAAUUAAAAAAAGAAGCAAAUCAAGAGGAAGGAGUGGAGGCAGAAAAUCAAAAUCAGCAGAUUUGAACAAAAAUAAUAUGAAUAUGGAAAAUAUUCUGGAUUUAAAAACAGAGGAAAAUAUUCAGAAUGAUUUAUUACACGAAAGUGAAAGGAUUUCUAAAGAAUUAACAGAUGAAUCUCUAAAAGAAGUGACUUCCUAUCAAAAGCAACAGUAUUUUCAGGAUACCAG